GGCGUUGCUGGAAUAGGCCCAACGAGUCGUGAUCGUUGGCCACGCCCAAGUCGCCUAGGUUGACCAGGUUCGACUCUUGCAACGCCG
rnacentral:tRNA from 1 species